rnacentral:lncRNA from 1 species
CCAGGAUUCUUAAGUGGGCAGAAUAUUCCUGAAUUGCUGACCAACUUUUCGUCUAAAAAGCCCAAAAAGAAGAUGUCUACUAGUAAGGGGAAGCACAAAAGACGAUCAUCACCCCAUAUUACUGAGUUGACGGAUCAUGAAGAGAGCAAUUCAUCUGAUGAUGAUGAUGAUGAUGAUCGAGGAAGGAGGUCAAAGACGAAGAAAGAUAAGAAAAAGAAGAGAUUAUAUCCUGAAUCAAGUUCACCUGAUAAGAAAAAGAAGCGAAAAUAUAAUGAAUCAAGUUCACCUGACAAGAAAAAGAAGAGAAAAUAUUCUGAAUCAAGUUCACCUGAUAAGAAAAAGAAGCGAAAAUAUAAUGAAUCAAGUUCACCUGACAAGAAAAAGAAGAGAAAAUAUUCUGAAUCAAGUUCAGCUGAUAAGAAAAAGAAGCAAGAAUAUUCUGAACCAAGUUCACCUGAAAAAAAGAGGAAGCGAAAAUAUUCUGAAUCAAGUUCACCUGACAAUUCUAAGGUUGAUAGGCAGCACAGGAGCAGGCACAGGCGACAUUAUUCAAGUUCAUCUGACAGUUCAGAUUCCGAUAGGAAACAUAGAAGUAAG